CGCUCUACCAAUCCGACUGCUCACUGGGCGAUUCAACAAGUCAAAUCGGCCCAAAUGAAUGCCGACGGCUCCUCCUCCGACUGACGACGGCACGGAACAUACCGAACAGACUCGGGUCACCGACCUUGCCAGAUUGUCCGAUGGCUGAUAAUCGGGUUGGUGUGUCAGCGCCUUUACUAUCCUCACUG